GCGCGAAAACUUUACAAUGCUGGCAACAGCGAUAAGGGAACCUCGAGUGCCAGGUUACAAAUCUGGCUGUCGAGAUGCCUAAAAAGCAUUUCAUAGCAAGGGCCGGGCAAGACCGGUGCCAGCCGCCGCGGUCACACCGGCGGCUCGAGUGGUAACCGUUAUUAUUGGGUCUAAAGGGUCUGUAGCCGGCCGGAUAAGUCUCUUGAGAAAUCUGGCAGCUUAACUGUCAGGCUUUCAGGAGAUACUGUCUGGCUCGAGGCCGGGAGAGGUGAGAGGUACUUCAGGGGUAGGGGUGAAAUCGUGUAAUCCUUGAAGGACCACCAGUGGCGAAGGCGUCUCACCAGAACGGACCUGACGGCAAGGGACGAAAGCUAGGG
rnacentral:rRNA from 1 species